UUCCGGUUGAUCCCGCCGGAGGUCACUGCUAUCGGGGUUCGAUUAAGCCAUGCGAGUCGAGAGGGUUCAGACCCUCGGCGGACUGCUCAGUAACACGUGGAUAAUCUGCCCUAUGGUGGAGGAUAACCCCGGGAAACUGGGGAUAAUACUCCAUAAGUCAGGAGUACUGGAAUGUCUCCUAACUGAAAGUUUCGGCGCCAUAGGAUGAAUCUGCGGCCGAUUAGGUAGUUGUUGGGGUAACGGCCCAACAAGCCCGUAAUCGGUACGGGUUGUGGGAGCAAGAGCCCGGAGAUGGAAUCUGAGACACGAUUCCAGGCCCUACGGGGCGCAGCAGGCGCGAAAACUUUACAAUGCAGGAAACUGUGAUAAGGGAACCCCGAGUGCCCGUACACGCGGGCUGUCCCGGUGUUUAAAACACAUCGGAAGAAAGGGCCGGGCAAGACCGGUGCCAGCCGCCGCGGUAAUACCGGCGGCUCGAGUGGUGACCACUUUUAUUGGGCUUAAAGCGUUCGUAGCUUGAUUUUUAAGUCUCUUGGGAAAUCUCACGGCUUAACUGUGAGGCGUCUAAGAGAUACUGGGAAUCUAGGGACCGGGAGAGGUAAGAGGUACUUCAGGGGUAGAAGUGAAAUUCUGUAAUCCUUGAGGGACCACCGAUGGCGAAGGCAUCUUACCAGAACGGCUUCGACAGUGAGGAACGAAAGCUGGGGGAGCGAACGGGAUUAGAUACCCCGGUAGUCCCAGCCGUAAACUAUGCGCGUUAGGUGUGCCUGUAACUACGAGUUACCGGGGUGCCGAAGUGAAAACGUGAAACGUGCCGCCUGGGAAGUACGGUCGCAAGGCUGAAACUUAAAGGAAUUGGCGGGGGAGCACCACAACGGGUGGAGCCUGCGGUUUAAUUGGAGUCAACGCCGGA
rnacentral:rRNA from 1 species